rnacentral:rRNA from 1 species
AUUGAACGCUGGCGGCAUGCCUUACACAUGCCAGUCGAACGGUAACGGGCCUUCGGGUGCCGACGAGUGGCGAACGGGUGAGUAAUACAUCGGAACGUGCCCGAUCGUGGGGGAUAACGAGGCGAAAGCUUUGCUAAUACCGCAUACGAUCUACGGAUGAAAGCAGGGGACCGCAAGGCCUUGCGCGGACGGAGCGGCCGAUGGCAGAUUAGGUAGUUGGUGGGAUAAAAGCUUACCAAGCCGACGAUCUGUAGCUGGUCUGAGAGGAUGAUCAGCCACACUGGGACUGAGACACGGCCCAGACUCCUACGGGAGGCAGCAGUGGGGAAUAUUGGACAAUGGGCGCAAGCCUGAUCCAGCCAUGCCGCGUGCAGGAUGAAGGCCUUCGGGUUGUAAACUGCUUUUGUACGGAACGAAAAGCCUUCUUUUAAUACAGGAGGGUCAUGACGGUACCGUAAGAAUAAGCACCGGCUAACUACGUG